AACGAACGCUGGCGGCAUGCCUAACACAUGCAAGUCGAACGAGACCUUCGGGUCUAGUGGCGCACGGGUGCGUAACGCGUGGGAACCUGCCCUUAGGUUCGGAAUAACUCCCCGAAAGGGGUGCUAAUACCGGAUAAUUUCUUCGGACCAAAGAUUUAUCGCCUUUGGAUGUGCCCGCGUUGGAUUAGCUAGUUGGUAGGGUAAAAGCCUACCAAGGCGACGAUCCAUAGCUGGUCUGAGAGGAUGAUCAGCCACACUGGGACUGAGACACGGCCCAGACUACUACGGGAGGCAGCAGUGGGGAAUAGUGGAAAAUGGGCGAAAGCCUGAUACAGCAAUGCCGCGUGAGUGAUGAAGGCCUUAGGGUUGUAAAGCUCUUUUACCCGGGAUGAUAAUGACAGUACCGGGAGAAUAAGCUCCGGCUAACUCCGUG
rnacentral:rRNA from 1 species